GUUUUUUUUUUUAUUUGUAAAGAAAAUUGAAAACCAUGUAUCAUUUUCCUUCCACUUCACAAUUACGCGCCACUUUGUGUUGGUCUAGCACAUACAAUCCCAAUAAAAUACAUUUACGUUUGUGGUUCUAACGUGACAAAAUGUGGAAAAGUUCAAGGGGUAUGAAUACUUUUGCAAGCCUCUGUAUAUGCAAUGUUCAAUUUUGAUUAGGUUAG